CCCGCACAAGCGGUGGAGCAUGUGGUUUAAUUCGAUGCAACGCGAAGAACCUUACCUACUCUUGACAUCCAGAGAACUUAGCAGAGAUGCUUUGGUGCCUUCGGGAACUCUGAGACAGGUGCUGCAUGGCUGUCGUCAGCUCGUGUUGUGAAAUGUUGGGUUAAGUCCCGCAACGAGCGCAACCCUUAUCCUUUGUUGCCAGCGGUCCGGCCGGGAACUCAAAGGAGACUGCCAGUGAUAAACUGGAGGAAGGUGGGGAUGACGUCAAGUCAUCAUGGCCCUUACGAGUAGGGCUACACACGUGCUACAAUGGCAUAUACAAAGAGAAGCGACCUCGCGAGAGCAAGCGGACCUCAUAAAGUAUGUCGUAGUCCGGAUUGGAGUCUGCAACU
rnacentral:rRNA from 1 species